CCUGGAGAAAUUUGCAAUUGCUGGCAAGAUGUUUGCAUUCACCGGUGAAACUUUGUGUUUACCAGAUCUUUUGCGUUCCCCUGAAAAACGGUGCAUUUGCUGACAAAUCGUUUCUCAAAAAAACUUUCCGUUUGCUCAUAAAAUGUACACAUAACUUGAGAAACGUUGCACUUGCUUGCAACGAAUGCAAGUUUUGCGAAAUAAAACGUUUGCAAGAGAACAUGAAAGCACUGGAUGCAUUUUUUUCCCCUCUCAUUGUCCCUAUAUGGGCUCCAUAGCGCCAUCUUGCAUAUCAUGACACAACUGAACUUGAUAACCACACCAAAAAAGAAGGUUUUCAGCAAAUAAUAAAUUCAGUUUUGGUCUUGAUGCACCAUAUUUAAGUUUAAUAUAUUUGAGAUGGUUUGACAUCUCAAAACCAUGAAAUUGAAAUGUAUCAUAGCUUAAGUAACUUGAAUAAGCAUAUGCAUAAAUCAUAUUUCAGAGCUUCAAUGGCCAACUUUCAAAUAAUGACUUUGUGCACAAAGCUAUCGUGUGUCUUCAGAAAACUUGAAAUAUAGUGCACAAGUGCUUUUAUGGUCUUUUUGGACAUCAAACGCUCUUUUAUUGUAUGAAAUGUUGUGUUUCACAGGUUUGGAACGACACCAGGGUGAGUAAAUGAUGACAGAUUUUUAUUUAGUUCUUUCAUUUUUGGGGUGAACUGUUCCUUUAAGUGCACAAAGCUUAUUUUCUUAUGAUAAUCAGCUCUUUGUUUUCCUAAUUCACCAUUUGCUUUGCUCUCUGUGUCGUUCAUUAGCUUUCCCGAGUGUCAUUUCAAAGGCUCAUCACGGAAGCUUGUCUUAUCUGAUUAAAAGCGAAUUAAAACAAAAGAUUUCUCGGCACGGCGACACGCAAAGGCCUGCUUUAAUUACCAGCACUUUGAACCCCGAGCGUGUAGAGCGUGGCGUUGUUCUCGUCACUGCGAGAGGGCACGAUUGGAGGAGAUGUGCGCGCUCGCACGCGCAAUCAGCGGGUUCCUCGAGUUCUCUCGUGCACCUUCACCGGUGCGUGCAAACCGAGCCGAAAGCGCUAACAAAUCUAAUGACUAAUGAUGUGCAGGUGUUUGCCACCGAUCCGGCCGCUGUGACCAAGUUUCAGUUUGCAGUGCAGCAGUUGGCGAGCGCUUGGGAAAGCUGCUCGUGAUCCGUCAGUAGACAUCAGACAGAAGCUCAGAUGAAGCUAUACGUAGAUCCUACUCACUGGAUUAUUGCCUGCUGUUUCAAUUAUGUGCACAAGAACGUGAUAAUAGAAAAAACAAGAACAAUGUAACUUUGAGCUCCGGCGACGUCUGCUGGCAGCUCUGGGUACUGCAUCGUUCCAGUGCGGCUUUAUUUUGUUACUCAAACAAGCUUGCUUUCCCACAUUAACUUCCAAAACAUUCUUGUAAUAAAACAUAGUAUAUUUCUUUGAAAAAGUGAAGAAUUACCUCUAGCUGUGGUCUCUAAACUACUAUUAACCUGACGUAGGUCCAUGCUGAAUUAGAUUUUUUCCUUGCAUCGCUCAGAUUAAUAGCGUUUCUCUGUGAUUUAGCCCUGGAGAUGUGUCUGUAAUAGCAUAUGCCUUCCAGGCCUAAUUACCCUAAAUGCAAUUUAAGUUUAUUAUCUUUUGUAUCCAGGGAGAACUGCACAACUCCGUUAUUAACCAAACUGUCCUCCUUUCUUACUGUCCGACAAUUUACAGCAGGAUUCAAUCAAGUUACCGUAAGUAAAACCGAUGAUUUUUACUUUCGUUGACGGGAAAGCACUCGAUGGUCAGGCCGCUGUGGGCCUCUGGUCAACAGAAUACUUUUUGCAGUCUUCAUCCACGUCCCAUUGACGGAUUUUGACCAAAAGCAAAUAAACGGAGAACAUUAGAGCAGAAGGCAAAGUAUGCAGUGUGUUAAAAUCCACUCUCAUUCGAGUCACUUAACAGAAUUAUUAAGUAUUGUAUCUUUUAUUAAAUAAAAAAAAAGGCAAGAAAAACCUCAAACCUGGAUUUGUUGUCAUAGUCUGGCAUCAUUUUUCUGUCACUUUACUGUCUAUCCAAGAAGACCAGCCUGAAUUUAUUUUGGUUUAAUAUGCAUAAAUGUGUGUUUUUGUAUUUGUUGUGUAUAUUUUGUUGCAUGCUAGAGUCUGAUAGGAUUAGCUAAGCAACAUAAUAACAGCACACUAUAAGAAGAGUCAUCGUCACUGGAGCAUGGUCACAUGACUUCUGCAGCUCAGGUGAUUGGCUCAGAAAGAUCUCUGAGAGCAAAGAUGUCCGAAUUGAAAUCUCCAGGUAUUACAGAACACCUUGUUUAAACAG
ensembl:lncRNA